rnacentral:rRNA from 1 species
UACGGGGGGAGCAAGCGUUGUUCGGAUUUACUGGGCGUAAAGGGCGCGUAGGCGGUCAGCACAAGUCAGUUGUGAAAUCUCCGGGCUUAACUCGGAAAGGUCAACUGAUACUGCCUCGCUUGAGUCCGGGAGGGGAGAGCGGAACUCCUAGUGUAGCGGUGAAAUGCGCAGAUAUUAGGAAGAACACCGGUGGCGAAGGCGGCUCUCUGGAACGGUACUGACGCUGAGACGCGAAAGCGUGGGGAGCAAACAGG